CAGGAUGAACGCUAGCUACAGGCUUAACGACAUGCAAGUCGAGGGGCAGCAUUGGGAUAGCUUGCUAUUCAGAUGGCGACCGGCGCACGGGUGAGUAACGCGUAUCCAACCUUCCUGCCAGUAGGGAACAGCCCGGCGAAAGUCGGAUUAAUGCCCUAUGUUCUUCAAUGCGGACAUCUAAGUUGAAGGAAAGAUUUAUCGCUGGCAGAUGGGGAUGCGUCCGAUUAGCUUGUUGGCGGGGUAACGGCCCACCAAGGCGACGAUCGGUAGGGGUUCUGAGAGGAAGGUCCCCCACACUGGUACUGAGACACGGACCAGACUCCUACGGGAGGCAGCAGUGAGGAAUAUUGGUCAAUGGGCGAGAGCCUGAACCAGCCAAGUAGCGUGCAAGGAGGACGGCCCUACGGGUUGUAGACUGCUUUUAUGCGGGGAUAAAGUGCGGCACGUGUGCCGUUUUGCAGGUACCGCAUGAAUAAGGACCGGCUAAUUCCGUGCCAGCCGCAGC
rnacentral:rRNA from 1 species